rnacentral:rRNA from 1 species
CCCUUAGAUGUCCUGGGCCGCACGCGCGUUACACUGAUGCAUUCAACGAGCUUAUAACCUUGGCCGAGAGGCCUGGGCAAUCUUGUUAACGUGCAUCGUGAUAGGGAUAGAUUAUUGAAAUUAUUAAUCUUGAACAAGGAAUUCCUAGUAAACGCAGAUCAUCAAUCUGCAUUGAUUACGUCCCUGCCCUUUGUACACACCGCCCGUCGCACCUACCGAUUGGAUGGUCCGGUGAAGCCUCGGGAUUGUGGUUCUUGCCGCUUUAUUGUGGCGUGACCGCGAGAACUUGUCUAAACCUUAUCAUCUAGAGGAAGGUGAAGUCGUAACA